UGGCGGACGGGUGAGUAAUGUCUGGGAAACUGCCCGAUGGAGGGGGAUAACUACUGGAAACGGUAGCUAAUACCGCAUAACGUCGCAAGACCAAAGAGGGGACCUUCGGGCCUCUUGCCAUCGGAUGUGCCCAGAUGGGAUUAGCUAGUAGGUGGGGUAACGGCUCACCUAGGCGACGAUCCCUAGCUGGUCUGGGAGGAUGACCAGCCACACUGGAACUGAGACACGGUCCAG
rnacentral:rRNA from 1 species